rnacentral:misc_RNA from 1 species
AAGUCGUAACAAGGUUUCCGUAGGUGAACCUGCGGAAGGAUCAUUACAGUGUUCCCUGCCCUCACGGGUAGAAACGCCCACCCUUGUAUAAUAUAUCUUGUUGCUUUGGCAGGCCGCCCUCGGGCACCGGCUCCGGCUGGAUCCGUGCCUGCCAGAGGACCCCAAACUCUGAAUGUUAGUGUCGUCUGAGUACUAUAUAAUAGUUAAAA